GUUCUUUCGGCCUUACUCCCAAAUAAUUUUUUAAUCGGUAGCUCCAAGAUUGCUACAUUGAUUGAAAUUCUAAUUAUUUGGCUGUGAGCACAAAUGUGCUCAUAACUUUAUCAUGUUGACAUAAAUAUCAGUUAUUUGGUAAGACAAUGCUCCAGUCACCUCCUCCUGCUAUAAUGUCUAAUUAUCUAUCUUGGGCUCUCACAUUCCAUUGUGAAAAACUAACAUUAGCUCAUAUAUAAUAGUCAUUCAUAGUCUUUGCAUGUUUGGUAUGUGUGACCAAAUGCCCUUUAAUAGGUUCCAUACUAAUAUUACAUGAAUAUUAGUGAAUUAUCUAGUAUAAAUUUCUACAGGGCCUCUUAAGUAAAUAUGUAUUUAGUUGGUUAUGUUUUAUGCAUAUUUAGAAUUUGUUUGCAUUAUCCAACUUCACAUGUAUUAUUUACCUGGUGGGAAUAUUUAGCUUUCUGACACUCUACUUUAUCCUAUGUAUAAAUUCACAUAUGUUUUAUAAUAUUCAUAACACUAAUUCACCAAACGAUCUUGAUAUCUGGUAUAUUAUCAUUUUCUUAAUGAGAUGUUAUCUACAGCAAAGCAUUUACUUAAUCACUCACUUUUUGUUUGCUUGGUUUUGGGUGUUCCUCACUAAAAACAAGUAUCUGUUGAAAAAAAAGGAUGUCUCCAGAAAGUCAAUGAGUCCUAUAAAGAAAAUUGUAGCAGACAUUUUCUGAAGAAAAACUAAUGUGUCAAAGGCCUCCUUCAGGUUGGACCCCAGGCUUCUCCUACUUCCUGUCCAAGUGGAGCAAAUGCAGCUCAGCUGGUUCCUGAGUUGCUACUGCCCCACCCCUAUGUCCACGUGCUGGUCUAAGAAGAGGGCAGGGAUAUUGAGAAAGUAACAGAGAAGGAGCAACAGUGACCAUCUCUGCCCAAGUGUGAAGGCCUCCCUGGCCCUCCAAAGAGAUGUACAGACUUGAGGAGAUGCAAAGGUCCUUCUGGUUGUAGGACUUCAAUUAUGAUCUCUGAGGAUAUGCUUCAAAAUAAAGUCCCCCAUAUUGAAAAUCACUGAUCUCAUUUCAAAGGAUAAAAGCAAUCUUUACUAGAAAAGUCACACACACACACGCACACACACACAUACUGCCCCCCUGCCACACACACACAAUGGUAACUAUGGGUGGUGACAUAUGUGUUAAUUAAUGUUGUUGUAAUAAUUAUGCAAUGUAUGUGUAAUUAAUUCAUCCCAUUAUAUACCUUGAAUAU
rnacentral:lncRNA from 10 species